GAUGAGAACGCAGCGAAAUGCGAUAAGUAAUGUGAAUUGCAGAAUUCAGUGAAUCAUCGAAUCUUUGAACGCACAUUGCGCCCCUUGGUAUUCCGAGGGGCAUGCCUGUUCGAGCGUCAUAUUAACCACUCCCGCUUGCGGGGUCUUGGGCUUCGCCUCCGGGCGGGCCUUAAAAUCAGUGGCGGUGCCGUCGGGCUCUACGCGUAGUAAAUUUUCUCGCGAUAGGGUCCCGGUGGAUGCUUGCCAACAACCCCCAACUUCUUAAGGUUGACCUCGGAUCAGGUAGGGAUACCCGCUGAACUUAAGCAUAUCAAUAAGCGGAGGA
rnacentral:misc_RNA from 1 species